rnacentral:rRNA from 1 species
CGUGUAGGCGGACUGUUAAGUCUGAUGUGAAAGCCCGGGGCUCAACCCCGGAAGUGCAUUGGAUACUGGCAGUCUUGAGUAUGGGAGAGGAAAGUGGAAUUCCGAGUGUAGGGGUGAAAUCCGUAGAUAUUCGGAGGAACACCAGUGGCGAAGGCGGCUUUCUGGACCAAUACUGACGCUGAGACGCGAAAGCGUGGGGAGCAAACA